CAUGUACUCCCUCCAUCCGAAAAUGCUCGUCAUUAAAAUAUAUGUAUUUAAAUAUAUUUUAGUUUUAGAUACAUUCAUUUUCAUCCAUUUUGAUGACAAAUAUUUUCGGAUGGAGGAAGUACAAU
rfam:Triticum aestivum genome assembly, contig: Triticum_aestivum_CS42_TGACv1_scaffold_320737_4BL